GAUGAAGAACGUAGCGAAAUGCGAUAAGUAAUGUGAAUUGCAGAAUUCAGUGAAUCAUCGAAUCUUUGAACGCACCUUGCACCCUUUGGCAUUCCGAAGGGUAUGCUCGUUUGAGUGUCAUUGUACUCUCACACUCUCCGAUCCUAUGGAUUCGGGGAGCGGUGGACUUGGGUGUUGCUGCCUUUCCUUGUGGCUCACCUCAAAUGUGUCAGUGCACCUCUUGGUUGGACAUAGUACGGCGUGAUAAGUGUCUUCGCCGGCACCUCGCAAGAGGGUGGCCGAUCGGGAGCUCUGUGCUUUCAAACCGUCUUCGGACAAUUUCUGACAACUUGACCUCAAAUCGAGUAGGACUACCCGCUGAACUUAAGCAUAUCAAUAGCGGAGGA
rnacentral:misc_RNA from 1 species